AGCGAACGCUGGCGGCAGGCCUAACACAUGCAAGUCGAACGGACCCUUCGGGGUUAGUGGCGGACGGGUGAGUAACACGUGGGAACGUGCCUUUAGGUUCGGAAUAGCUCCUGGAAACGGGUGGUAAUGCCGAAUGUGCCCUUCGGGGGAAAGAUUUAUCGCCUUUAGAGCGGCCCGCGUCUGAUUAGCUAGUUGGUGAGGUAACGGCUCACCAAGGCGACGAUCAGUAGCUGGUCUGAGAGGAUGACCAGCCGCACUGGGACUGAGACACGGCCCAGACUCCUACGGGAGGCAGCAGUGGGGAAUCUUGCGCAAUGGGCGAAAGCCUAGCGCAGCCAUGCCGCGUAAAUGAUGAAGGUCUUAGGAUUGUAAAAUUCUUUCACCGGGGACGAUAAUGACGGUACCCGGAGAAGAAGCCCCGGCUAACUUCGUG
rnacentral:rRNA from 1 species